rnacentral:misc_RNA from 1 species
AGAGAUGUGUUACUUAGAGAGCUGCAUAAUGUAAAGUUUGUAUUACAGUGACUUUGUUUGAAACUUUUUCAUACACCAUGCAGUAUAGUAUUGCAUUGAUUAAAAAAAAAAAAUAGGCCAAUGCUUUUCUUUUAUUCUGUGCUCUGCAGAAAUGCUUGGAAUCAAAGACUGAAUUUGUAAACCAUUUUACAUUAUGUUAUUAAUAAGCAUUGCAAAUUAUUUAUGCAAAAAUGUGCAUGUUAAUUAUAUUGUUUUAACCAGUGAUGCUAAACGUCUUUAUAACUGUAAACUGGGCCGAGCUCUUGAUUUUAGUGUUGCCAUAAAACAAACAGAAAAUCAUUUAUUUAAUGACAUAAAUUUAUGUGUUUUUAUACCUGUAUUCUAUGUAUUGUAAUUCAUUUCAUUUAUUAUCUUCUAGAAUACAUGGCAUUCACUGUGAAAGGUGUAUUUGUUUAUGUUAGAGAUUUGUGUUGCAAAAUUAAAUUGGCCAAAACAAAGGGAAAAAAAUUGAAAAAAUUUAUUAUUUUAUAUAGAUCAAUGACAAUAAAUGUUUUUAAAAACUU